AUUGAACGCUGGCGGCAGGCCUAACACAUGCAAGUCGAGCGGAGCGGCGGACGGGUGAGUAAUUCAUAGGAAUCUGCCUGGUAGUGAGGGAUAAGGUCCGGAAACGGGCACUAAUAUCGUAUAAUAUCACAUGAGCCUAGAUCGUAUUAGCUAGUUGGUGGGGUAAAGUCCUACCAAGGCGACGAUCCGUAACUGGUCUGAGAGGAUGAUCAGUCACACUGUAACGGAGACACGGUCCAGACUCCUACGGGAGGCAGCAGUGGGGAAGAUUAGACAAUGGGCGAAAGCCUGAUACAGCCAUGCCGCGUGUGUGAAGAAGGUCUUCGGAUUGUAAAGCACUUUAAGUUGGGAGGCGUUACCAACAGAAUAAGCACCGGCUAACUUCGUGCCAGCAGCCGCGGUAAUAC
rnacentral:rRNA from 1 species